UACGUAGGGGGCUAGCGUUGUCCGGAUUUAUUGGGCGUAAAGCGCACGUAGGCGGCUUUGCAAGUCCCAUGUGAAAGCCCACGGCUCAACCGUGGAAGUGCAUGGGAAACUGCAGAGCUUGAGUACUUAAGAGGAUCGCGGAAUUCCCGGUGUAGAGGUGAAAUUCGUAGAUAUCGGGAGGAACACCAGUGGCGAAGGCGGCGAUCUGGGAAGAUACUGACGCUGAGGUGCGAAAGCGUGGGGAGCAAACAGG
rnacentral:rRNA from 1 species